rnacentral:misc_RNA from 1 species
CGCCCCACGCAGGCAUUACCACGGCGACGGGCAAGAGUCUCUUCAGCUCCCCUCCCGUGCUUCUCCUCCUCCUCCGACGCCCCACAACAUCACGUUUCGAUACCGCCGCCAUCUCCUCCCGCGCCUGGCCUCCUUGCCGGUCUUUCGCUUUGCCCAGCCCUCCACCACCGCGCUCUCCCUACACCACCUGCACCUUCGUCACACACAGAUGGAGGUGCCAACGACAGCGUACAAGGACCAGAAGCCGGGCACAUCGGGGCUGCGCAAGAAGGUCACGGUGUUUCAGCAGCCCAACUACACGGCGAACUUUGUGCAGAGCACCUUCAACGCUCUGCAUCACCAAGGCGCCGUGCCAGAUGUGCUCGUCGUGGGCGGCGAUGGCCGCUACUACACUUCCGAGGCGGUGCAGGUGAUCCUGAAGGUCUCCGCCGCGAAUGGGGUGCGGCGUGUGUGGGUGGGUCAGCACGGGCUUCUCUCAACGCCGGCCGUUUCAACAAUGGUGCGCCGUCGCCGUGACGCAGACGGGCGCAAGGCAACCGGCGCUUUUAUCUUGACGGCCAGCCACAAUCCCGGCGGCCCGGACGCCGACUUUGGCAUCAAGUACAACUCUGAGAACGGCGGCCCGGCCGCAGAGAAGCUGACGUCCCAGAUUUACGAGGAGACGGUUAAGAUUACGCACAUCAAGAUGGCCGCGACGCUGCCGGAGGUGGAUAUCCACACCCUCGGCACCUACACCUUUGACGACUACAACUUCCAGGUGGAGGUGGUUGACAGCUUGGCUGACUACGCUGCGUACAUGCAGGAGGUGUUCGACUUCGAGGCCAUCAAGGCACUCGUGCAGCGCCUCGACUUCAAGGUCCACGUGGACAGCCUUCACGGCGUCAGCGGCCCGUACGUUGAUCGCAUCUUUCACGAAUGCCUUGGUGUGCCCAAGGCCUCCCUAUUCCGCACGAACGUCCUGCCCGACUUUGGCGGCUGCCACCCCGAUCCGAAUCUCACGUACGCGGCCGACUUGGUGCAUGUGAUGGGGCUGCUGCCAGACGGCAAUGCGAACCCCGCGAUGAAGCAUAUCAGCACGGUGCCCAGCUUCGGUGUCGCGUUUGAUGGGGAUGCAGACCGCAACAUGAUCCUCGGCUGCCGCUUCUUCGUGAACCCGUCCGACUCACUUGCCGUGCUGGCUGCCAACGCCGACUGCGUGCCCUUCUUCACCCAAAGCGGCAACUCCGGGCUCAAGGCCGUGGCGCGGUCGAUGCCGACGAGCGGUGCGGUCGACCGCGUCGCUGCGGCACAGGGCUUCACGCUCUUCGAGGUCCCUACGGGGUGGAAGUUCUUUGGCAACCUCAUGGACAGCAAGGACGUCUACGGGGGCAAGGACUUGAACCCUCUGCUCUGCGGCGAGGAGAGUUUCGGCACGGGCAGCAAUCACAUCCGUGAGAAGGACGGUAUCUGGGCGUCGCUCUUCUGGCUGUCGGUGAUCGCGAAGCGCAACGUGCCUGGCACCCCGCUGGUCGGUGUCCAGAAGAUUGUGGAGGAGCACUGGGCGACGUAUGGCCGCAAUUACUAUAGCCGAUACGACUACGAGGACGUUUCCGCUGAGGCCGCGAAGGCCGUCAUGGAGACGGUCGAGAAUACAGUGGUGGAAGACGUGCCGCAUCUCAACGGCGUCGCGUGCAAGAUGAUCGACAACUUCAGCUACACGGACCCCAUCGAUGGCUCCGUCUCGACGAAGCAAGGCGUGCGUGUGCUCUUUGAGGAUGGGUCGCGCUUCGUGCUGCGGCUGAGCGGCACCGGCUCCUCUGGCGCCACCAUCCGGCUCUACCUGGAGCAGUAUAUGGACUCAGCCACGGUGAAAUCGCACUUGGCAGAGAAGACGCUGCCAUCCGCGAGCACCGCGCUGAAGGCUCUCAUCGGAGUUGCGCUGCAGGUGUCCAAGAUGGAAUCUCUGACUGGCCGCAAGACACCCACGGUGAUUACAUAAGCGGGCACAAACAACGAAGAGGACGUUCUUGUGUGUGUGUGUGUACCUGCGCGCGUUCCCUCUUUCGUUCCAUAGGCCGCUGCGCUUUCCUCUUUGACGGCAUCUCUCAUCCGCGUGUUUGCUUGUGUGGUACACUCCCACUACUGUUUCCUCCUCUAUUUAUGUCAUUUUUUUUGUUCGCCCUCCGUCUUUUAUCGUGAUGGCGGGUGAAG